AUGAAAUCUAUUGAGCUGUCUAGGCAGCUUCUCUACACUCGUCUCGCUAGCAUUCGUGGACGUACUGAGUCGUUCUGGAAGGAAGUUGAUCACGUGAAAGGCUUGUGGAAGAAUCGUGCGGAUUUGAAGGUGGAAGAGGCUGGGACUGCAGCACUUUUUGGUCUGGAUUGCUUCGUAUGGUUCUGUGCAGGUGAGAUCGUCGGAAGAGGCUUCACUUUCACCGGCUACUACCCUCCACUUACCCUUGAAGAAACAGAGCAACCCCCACAAACAGAUGCUUCCAUUGAACGCUGAAAAAGCUUUUAAAAUCAUGAACUGGCGGUUUAGUAUCGAUCUCAUUGCUGACAUUAGAAGCAUAAGUUAAUUUCUUUCCUAUCUAUGGAUAAUCAGAUACACCCAAAAUUUGAAGCCGAGGGAUCGUCAGUCAUGCUAGCUCUUUAAUAAUAUCAGUCUCAGAACUUGUUUGCAAGAUUUUUUCUUUAGUUUCAUUACUGUGAACAGAACCAUGUUUCUUACUCGCAACAGAGAUAACAGAAACAAAGUUUGGUACUUUUGAAGAA